GAGAGAGAGAGAGAGAGAGAGAGAGAGAGACACAGUAGCUAAUAUACAAAUCCUCGAAAUCGAUAAGAAAGGAGAGAGAGAGAGAGAGAGAGAGAGAGAGAGAGAGAGAGAGAGAGAGAGAGAGAGAGAGAGAGAGAGAGAGAGAGAGAGAAAGAGAGAAAGAAAGAAAGAAAGAAAGAAAGAAAGAGACGGAUGGGUUGUGAUAUGAUGUUAGUGGUUGGUGGAAUAAUUUUAAGGAAAUAAGUUUUCAGUUGGCUCCGGAAAUAUUUUAAGUCAAGGCUUGACCAGGACUCUUGUUAUUUUGGGUGGAAGGUAUUGUAGCCUGUUUUUAAGUGACGUACUUCAGUGAUCAUUACUUUGAGGAAAUUGGAUCAUUAUUGUGGUGGGACCACGUUCGGAUCCGGAUAUUGUUUGGUGUGAUACAAAAUGUUGGACGGGUGUCCUUUGAUUUAUGUUAAGGAUUGUCCAGGAAAGAUCUUGUGAAUUGUGCUAGCUACCUCGGGGAAUUGGUUAUUGCUUGAAUUGAAUACAUGUAAUGGAUUUUCUUUGAAGGAAUUGAGCGAGUUUUGCCACCCUGGUGGCCCUCAAUUGGAAAUGUAUCGGAAGUUGUUGGUACGAGUGAAAUCCGGUCACCACUUGUCUAACGGUAUGACGACUUGAACAGGAAGUAAGAGUUGAGUUGGAAUUAAUUGAUUGGGUUUAUGUUCUAUCAGGGUUUUAAUAGAUAUUUAAGUACUAAUUGUUGAGACACUAUGGUUGAGUUAUGUUAUUGGAUAAAUUCUUAGUGUGGGGAUUUGGAAAAGUUUUUGGUACAAUUUUGGUUAGCACAGGAAAGUUAUAGGGAUCCUUGUUGUAGCUGAAAUCUUAUAAGUUAAGUGUCGAUCGCGGAGCGGAUUUGCGGCUAUUUUAUCCUCUUUUCGGUAAGGACAAUCGUCGUUUAUUAGUAUUGGCCUUAAGUUAAAUAAGAAGUGUUGGCUAUAUUCUAGUACUUGCAAGUUCAACGUUGUUUGACAUGACUGAUUUCAAGUGUUGAAUUUCUUUUCUAGUUGGUCAACUUUGGAUCAGAUUUGGAGUAAUUUCUAGUGUUGUUGGUUACAUCAUAGUCCAUUAGAGGAUUUGACACAUACAGAAUUUAGAACUUUUCUAUAAUGUCGUACCUGUAAUAGAAUUGUCAGGUGGUGAUGUCGGACAGAUGGUUGGAAAUGUUCUACUUGGGGUUGGUGGAGCAGUUGGGAAAGAGAGUUUUCCUAGUUAUCUAAGGAAGCUAUUUUAUUUAAGUUUGAUCAGAAUUCCAGUCAAGUAUCUAAUAAUACGGAUAGUAGUGUUUUCGGUGGUGAGAAUUACAUUGGCAUAUGAAGUAGAAUUAUCAUUUGUGGCAUUGGAGGCCAGCGAGAACGACGUGGAUUCAACUAGAGAUUAGACCUAUGACUAUUAAAGAAGUGUAGCAUCAGCUAAGAACAGUUUUAGUGUGAUGCAUCUCCUCCUGGAUUUGAGUCUUUGGGCUGGAGUGGAGUGAGUAGUUACGGUUCUUGCUUUGUACCGGGUUUCGAACGACGUGGUACUCAUUGCGUACCAUUAAAUAAACACUAACAUGUAAGGAAUUUUAGCAGUUUUGAUUAGAGACGUUGGUAAUUAGUAGAUUCCUUGAAACACAUUUGAUCUAAAAGAGUUUUCCACUACAUUACAAUUAUAGAAAGUUUUCGAGGGAUUACGCUAGUUAGCCAGUUUGAGAUAUUAAGUGUGGCCAGCAGGGUAACUAUCAAAUGAGUUUUCCUUGUUGACUUGGAAUGUCAUUUCAAGGCGUGAUCAAUGUUCCUGUUAGUUAUCAGAGUAGCGCAGAGGAAGUGUAGUGACCCCAUAACCUAUAUGAUUAAGAACUUAUGGGUUUGUUUGGGACUACCCUUUGUUAUGCUUGACAACUGUGAGACCUUUACGUGAAUGACAGUCGAUCAUAAAUCUAAGCACAAACAGACAAAAGGAAGUGCGGUCUUGUGGUUGCUAAGGAAACUGCUUGUUACGGACUUGUGGGUUAUCAGUGAGUAUCUUGUGGUGUUUUUUUAGCGGUUGGACUUUUUCAUAAAUCCGUGUACGAAUUGAAAUUGUAUUAAGUGUGGGUUGAUGUAUUAUCACAAUAUGGUUGAUGAACGGGGUGGAUCUUCACCAUGCAACUUAUAUGAAGGGUCAUGAAUACUUCUAUUCCAACUGAAUGACUUGUGAUAUCAAUACCUUGUGCUAUCUGAGCUAUAAACAUGUUGUGAUUUGCUUGAGUAGUUGGGAUGGUUGGAGACUCUAUGGAUUGUUAAAGUAGUGACUUGAGGUUGUAAAAGAAAAUUUAACUCACAGAAGAGACGACAAGUAUUGUGAUCCUGGCAGCAUCGAAUGAGGAUUGUUCCUUUUAAGGGUUGAUCUCCUUAUUCAAUCGGCCAACUCUUGGAUCAUUUUUUUAAACUAAGUUCUACAUGUUUUGAGCAAUUUGGCAUAUUUUUAUGUGCCUUACCUUACCCAAUGUUGUGAGAUCGGUGUAUUAUCUUUCUUCGUAAUGUGUACUUUGGGUUGGUGUGUAAUCUUCAGCGGUAUGAAAUUUCGAGGACGAAAUUUUUAUAAGGAGGGGAGAUUGUUACGUCCCGUAUCUUAAAGUACCAGUUUACUAGUUAUUUGCCCGGUAAACGGCAAUUACUUUCACUUUUACUGUCGUUUCGGUACUUUUAGUGGCCCUAAAAGUUGACUUUUAGUUCGGGUCAAAAUUUGAGAAAAUUUUCUUCAUGAAAAUUGUAGAGGACGUUAAACCGAGCGCGUGCAUAUGUGGUACGUAUAAAUUGGAGUUUGUAUGCCAAAGUUAUGAGUAUUUUUGUGUGAGGGGUAUUUUGGUCAUUUCAUCACACCUUAAUUAUAAGGGGCUGAUCAGCCCCAUUUCCAGCCAUUCUCCCCAUCCUUCACGACAGAAACCAGAAAGAAAAAAGAGAGAGAGAGAGAGAGAGAGAGAAAGAAAGAAAGAAAGAAAGAAAGAAAGAGAUCUUCCGGUGCGGAUUCCGGCAAUUUCCGGCAGCAAAAAUGUUCUUGUUGUUUUCUGGCUUGGUGGUAGUUGAAAGAAGUGUUAAGGAUGUUGAGAUGAAGCCGCUGUCAAAAUUUGGUAACCAUCGGAGGAGUUGGCCGACGAGUGAACAGUGCCGCCGAGUGAACAGUGCGGGUGACGUAUCAAAUUACUACUGAGUGAAGGAGCUCUUAUGCGUGGUUGCCUAAAUAGUACUUUUGCAGGCUAGAUUAGUUGAGGUCGGGCGUACAUGGAGUCGAGGCAUAGCCAACAGCAUUGCUUCCGCGUACUCAUUCUAUUUCUGUUUUCUGUGAUACCUAAUAGAUUAAUAUUGCUCUGAUAAGCUGUGGGAUUAAUAUUGUUUUUGGGUUGAGACUGUUAUUUGAGAAAUUGAAGUUGUGAUUUGGGGAGCAGGUGGCUCCAGGAGUAUAAGGUUGGUUUGUUUGAA